UUGCUGGUGGAUUAGUGGCGAACGGGUGAGUAACACGUGAGUAACCUGCCCUUAACUCUGGGAUAAGCCUGGGAAACUGGGUCUAAUACCGGAUAUGACUCCUCAUCGCAUGGUGGGGGGUGGAAAGCUUUAUUGUGGUUUUGGAUGGACUCGCGGCCUAUCAGCUUGUUGGUGAGGUAAUGGCUCACCAAGGCGACGACGGGUAGCCGGCCUGAGAGGGUGACCGGCCACACUGGGACUGAGACACGGCCCAGACUCCUACGGGAGGCAGCAGUGGGGAAUAUUGCACAAUGGGCGAAAGCCUGAUGCAGCGACGCCGCGUGAGGGAUGACGGCCUUCGGGUUGUAAACCUCUUUCAGUAGGGAAGAAGCGAAAGUGACGGUACCUGCAGAAGAAGCGCCGGCUAACUACGUGCCAGCAGCCGCGGUAAUACGUAGGGCGCAAGCGUUAUCCGGAAUUAUUGGGCGUAAAGAGCUCGUAGGCGGUUUGUCGCGUCUGCCGUGAAAGUCCGGGGCUCAACUCCGGAUCUGCGGUGGGUACGGGCAGACUAGAGUGAUGUAGGGGAGACUGGAAUUCCUGGUGUAGCGGUGAAAUGCGCAGAUAUCAGGAGGAACACCGAUGGCGAAGGCAGGUCUCUGGGCAUUAACUGACGCUGAGGAGCGAAAGCAUGGGGAGCGAACAGGAUUAGAUACCCUGGUAGUCCAUGCCGUAAACGUUGGGCACUAGGUGUGGGGGACAUUCCACGUUUUCCGCGCCGUAGCUAACGCAUUAAGUGCCCCGCCUGGGGAGUACGGCCGCAAGGCUAAAACUCAAAGGAAUUGACGGGGGCCCGCACAAGCGGCGGAGCAUGCGGAUUAAUUCGAUGCAACGCGAAGAACCUUACCAAGGCUUGACAUGAACCGGAAAUACCUGGAAACAGGUGCCCCGCUUGCGGUCGGUUUACAGGUGGUGCAUGGUUGUCGUCAGCUCGUGUCGUGAGAUGUUGGGUUAAGUCCCGCAACGAGCGCAACCCUCGUUCUAUGUUGCCAGCGCGUUAUGGCGGGGACUCAUAGGAGACUGCCGGGGUCAACUCGGAGGAAGGUGGGGACGACGUCAAAUCAUCAUGCCCCUUAUGUCUUGGGCUUCACGCAUGCUACAAUGGCCGGUACAAAGGGUUGCGAUACUGUGAGGUGGAGCUAAUCCCAAAAAGCCGGUCUCAGUUCGGAUUGGGGUCUGCAACUCGACCCCAUGAAGUCGGAGUCGCUAGUAAUCGCAGAUCAGCAACGCUGCGGUGAAUACGUUCCCGGGCCUUGUACACACCGCCCGUCAAGUCACGAAAGUUGGUAACACCCGAAGCCGGUGGCCUAACCCCUUG
rnacentral:rRNA from 1 species